UAAGGUAGCGAAAUUCCUUGUCGGGUAAGUUCCGACCUGCACGAAUGGAGUAACGAUAGCCCCACUGUCUCCUUCCGAGGCUCAGUGAAAUUGAAAUCGCUGUGACGAUGCAGUGUUCCCGCGGCAAGACGGAAAGACCCCGUGAACCUUCACUACAACUUUACAUUGGACUUUGAAAUUGCUUGUGUAGGAUAGGUGGGAGGCUUUGAAGUGUGGACGCCAGUCUGCAUGGAGCCGACCUUGAAAUACCACCCUUUAAUGUUUGAUGUUCUAACGUUGACCCGUAAUCCGGGUUGCGGACAGUGUCUGGUGGGUAGUUUGACUGGGGCGGUCGCCUCCCAAACCGUAACGGAGGCGCGCGAAGGUUGGCUCAGAGCGGUCGGAAAUCGCUCGUUGAGUGCAAUGGCAGAAGCCAGCCUGACUGCGAGACUGACAAGUCGAGCAGAGUCGAAAGACGGCCAUAGUGAUCCGGUGGUCCCACGUGGGAGGGCCAUCGCUCAACGAAUAAAAGGUACUCCGGGGAUAACAGGCUGAUGAUUU
rnacentral:rRNA from 1 species